UGGGGAAUAUUGCGCAAUGGGCGAAAGCCUGACGCAGCAACGCCGCGUGAGUGAUGAAGGCCUUCGGGUCGUAAAGCUCUUUCGGCGGGGACGAAACGGUCCGUGACAACACCACGGACUAAUGACAGUACUCGCAGAAGAAGCACCGGCUAACUACGUGCCAGCAGCCGCGGUAAUACGUAGGGUGCAGGCGUUAAUCGGAAUUACUGGGCGUAAAGCGUGCGCAGGCGGCUCCUUAAGUCAGAUGUGAAAUCCCCGGGCUUAACCUGGGAACUGCGUUUGAAACUGAGGGGCUAGAGUGUGGAAGAGGGGGGUGGAAUUCCAGGUGUAGCAGUGAAAUGCGUAGAGAUCAGGAGGAACAUCCAUGGCGAAGGCAGCUACCUGGACCAACACUGACACUGAGGCACGAAAGCGUGGGGAGCAAACAGGAUUAGAUACCCCAGUAGUCCCUGAGCGGGCUGGCAAGGCGCAU
rnacentral:rRNA from 1 species